rfam:Jatrophihabitans endophyticus strain DSM 45627 genome assembly, contig: Ga0131187_101
CCGGCUCCGGUUCACGCACCGUGCCCGCACCGUGCGACCCGGCGGCC